rnacentral:rRNA from 1 species
UACGUAGGGGGCUAGCGUUGUCCGGAAUCAUUGGGCGUAAAGCGCGUGUAGGCGGUCCGGUAAGUCCGCUGUGAAAGUCGGGGGCUCAACCCUCGAAUGCCGGUGGAUACUGUCGGGCUAGAGUGCGGAAGAGGCGAGUGGAAUUCCUGGUGUAGCGGUGAAAUGCGCAGAUAUCAGGAGGAACACCAAUUGGCGAAGGCAGCUCGCUGGGACGUUACUGACGCUGGAGACGCGAAAAGCGUGGGGAGCAAACAGG